rnacentral:rRNA from 1 species
CGGUUGAUCCUGCCGGACCUGACUGCUAUCGGAUUGAUACUAAGCCAUGCGAGUCAUUGUAGCAAUACAAGGCAGACGGCUCAGUAACGCGUAGUCAAUCUACCCUAUGGACGGGAAUAACCUCGGGAAACUGAGAAUAAUGCCCGAUAGAACAUUAUGCCUGGAAUGGUUUAUGUUUCAAAUGAUUUAUCGCCAUAGGAUGGGACUGCGGCCUAUCAGUUUGUUGGUGAGGUAAUGGCCCACCAAGACUAUUACAGGUACGGGCUCUGAGAGGAGUAGCCCGGAGAUGGGUACUGAGACACGGACCCAGGCCCUAUGGGGCGCAGCAGGCGAGAAAACUUUGCAAUGUGCGAAAGCACGACAAGGUUAAUCCGAGUGGUUUCUGCUAAAGAAACCUUUUGUCAGUCCUAGAAACACUAACGAAUAAGGGGUGGGCAAGUUCUGGUGUCAGCCGCCGCGGUAAAACCAGCACCUCAAGUGGUCAGGAUGAUUAUUGGGCCUAAAGCAUCCGUAGCUCGUUUUGUAAGUUUUCGGUUAAAUCCAUGCGCUUAACGUAUGGGCUGCCGGGAAUACUGCAUAACUAGGAAGUGGGAGAGGUAGACGGUACUCGGUAGGAAGGGGUAAAAUCCUUUGAUCUAUUGAUGACCACCUGUGGCGAAGGCGGUCUACCAGAACACGUUCGACGGUGAGGGAUGAAAGCUGGGGGAGCAAACCGGAUUAGAUACCCGGGUAGUCCCAGCUGUAAACUAUGCAAACUCAGUGAUGCAUUGGCUUGUGGCCAAUGCAGUGCUGCAGGGAAGCCGUUAAGUUUGCCGCCUGGGAAGUACGUACGCAAGUAUGAAACUUAAAGGAAUUGGCGGGGGAGCACCACAAGGGGUGAAGCCUGCGGUUCAUUGGAUUCAACGCCNGAA